UACGGAGGGGGCUAGCGUUGUUCGGAAUUACUGGGCGUAAAGCGCGCGUAGGCGGCUUUGUAAGUUAGAGGUGAAAGCCCGGAGCUCAACUUCGGAACUGCCUUUGAUACAGCACGUCUUGAGUCCGAUAGAGGUGGGUGGAAUUCCUAGUGUAGAGGUGAAAUUCGUAGAUAUUAGGAAGAACACCGGUGGCGAAGGCGCUCUGCUAGGCCGCAACUGACACUGAGGGACGAAAGCUAGGGGAGCGAAUGGG
rnacentral:rRNA from 1 species